GGAGUCCGCCAGGGGUAUCCCGCGAGGGAUUGAGAUCACACCCUUGGAACCUGCCCGGUUGAUACCGGCGAAGGGAGCGCGGAGCGCCAAGUGG
rnacentral:ncRNA from 2 species